GUGCUUGCUCCAGCAACACAUAUACUGAAAUUGAAACAAUACAGAGAAGACUAUCACAGUCCCUGGACAAAGAUGACACACAAAUUCCUGAUGCAUUCCAUAUUUUU